UACGGGGGGGGCAAGCGUUGUUCGGAAUUACUGGGCGUAAAGGGCUCGUAGGCGGCCAACUAAGUCGGACGUGAAAUCCCCAGGCUCAACUUGGGAACUGCGUCCGAUACUGGAUGGCUUGAAUUCGGGAGAGGGAUGCAGAAUUCCAGGUGUAGCGGUGAAAUGCGUAGAUAUCUGGAGGAAUACCGGUGGCGAAGGCGGCAUCCUGGACCGACAUUGACGCUGAGGAGCGAAAGCUAGGGGAGCAAACGGG
rnacentral:rRNA from 1 species